ensembl:snRNA U6 U6 spliceosomal RNA
GUGCUCACUUUGGCAGCACAUAUACUAAAAUUGGAAUGAUACAGAGAAGAUUAGCAUGGCCCCUGUGCAAGGGUGACACGCAAAUUCGUAAAGGGUUCCAUGUGUUU